rnacentral:rRNA from 1 species
AUUGAACGCUGGCGGCAGGCUUAACACAUGCAAGUCGAGCGGAGUGUUGGUGCUUGCACUAUCACUUAGCGGCGGACGGGUGAGUAAUGCUUAGGAAUCUGCCUAUUAGUGGGGGACAACAUCUCGAAAGGGAUGCUAAUACCGCAUACGUCCUACGGGAGAAAGCAGGGGAUCACUUGUGACCUUGCGCUAAUAGAUGAGCCUAAGUCGGAUUAGCUAGUUGGUGGGGUAAAGGCCUACCAAGGCGACGAUCUGUAGCGGGUCUGAGAGGAUGAUCCGCCACACUGGGACUGAGGCACGGCCCAGACUCCUACGGGAGGCAGCAGUGGGGAAUAUUGGACAAUGGGGGGAACCCUGAUCCAGCCAUGCCGCGUGUGUGAAGAAGGCCUUAUGGUUGUAAAGCACUUUAAGCGAGGAGGAGGCUCUUUUGGUUAAUACCCAAGAUGAGUGGACGUUACUCGCAGAAUAAGCACCGGCUAACUCUGUGCCAGCCGCCGCCGUAAUAC